rnacentral:rRNA from 1 species
UACGUAGGGGGCUAGCGUUGUCCGGAAUCAUUGGGCGUAAAGCGCGUGUAGGCGGCCCGGUAAGUCCGCUGUGAAAGUCGGGGGCUCAACCCUCGGAUGCCGGUGGAUACUGUCGGGCUAGAGUACGGAAGAGGCGAGUGGAAUUCCUGGUGUAGCGGUGAAAUGCGCAGAUAUCGGGAGGAACACCAAUUGCGAAGGCAGCUCGCUGGGACGUUACUGACGCUGAGACGCGAAAGCGUGGGGAGCAAACAGG